rnacentral:lncRNA from 1 species
AACAGACCAGGAAGGCAGCAGCCCUGCCCACCAGGAGCCAGCUAUCACAGACACUGGCAGCUGGCUCAGCUCUGCAGGAGGAUAGAUGAGCUCCACCUGCCCAAGUUCUCCAUCUCCAUGGACAACAGCCUGGAGCACAUCCUUCCUGAGCUGGGCAUCAGGGAGCUCUUCUCCACACAGGCUGACCUGUCUGCAAUCACAGGAACCAAGGACCUGAGAGUCUCUCAGGUGGUCCACAAGGCUGUGCUGGAUGUGGCUGAGACAGGCACAGAGGCAGCUGCUGCCACAGGGGUCAAAUUAAUUCUAUGUUGUGAAAAAAUCUAUUCUAUGACAAUAUAUUUCAACAGGCCGUUCCUGAUGAUUAUCUCUGACAUAAACGCUCACAUUGCCCUCUUUAUGGCCAAAGUUACAAAUCCCAAGUGAGACCAGAACUUCUCAAAUGGGGAAAGGGCCCCUUCCCAAGAGCUGAGAAUUGAGCCUGUAUGUCUGUCUGUCUGCACAUUUUGGCUUCCAUGCUCUGCUUGGCUGAGGCAUGCCUGACUAGACAGUGACACUGACUAACUCUGUGACUCCCUCAUGCAGAGAAACAAGCCUAUGGCUGGUCAGUGUCAGACUCUCUGUCAUCUUGGCAGCCCUAGCUCAGGAUCCUGACCUGAAAUUUGUGUUAUUCCCUAUCCCUGCUCUCUCCCCUGUAUCUGCCUCAACUCAAAAGCGUGGGCCCAGCAGUGAGGCUCUCUCCUAACUUAGGCUCUGCUUAUGUCUGCUGUCAGCUUUUCAGUCAUGAUGGGACUUUGAAAGUUUAAAGCCAACUCAUAAGGUCUAAGAAGGGAACCUGCUGCCCUGGGUCUAUCUGCAGCAUCUGAAACACUUGACGCCCAGUUCUGCCUUAGUCUUGCCUUCCUUUGGGCAGAGCUAUCCAUAGCCCCUGCAGAAUCUCUUGGCCCUGCCCACCUCUGGCACAGGUGGAGCACUCAACCCUGCAAAUGCAUGGGGCCUGUGGGUCAAAGCAGCUCCCCCUAGCACUCCUACUCAGAACAGAGAAGUAGCCUAACCCUAAGUCUCUAAUUGACCAACCUCAUAGGACAGGUGGACACCUCCACCUUCAUCACCCAAAUUGAAAGGGCAGGAGCUAAUGAUCAAUAAACAUAUAACUGCAUUGAA